GCCCAGGUGGCGAAACUGGUAGACGCAAGGGACUUAAAAUCCCUCGAACCGAAAGGUUCGUGCGGGUUCGAUUCCCGCCCUGGGCACCA
rnacentral:tRNA from 1 species